UGAAACACUGGAGGCUAUGUACAAACUUAGAUUGCCUAGACAGUAUCCUGACUCUGACUGUACCCCAUGUCACUGUUCUGUGUGAGACAGUUUACUGGAAGGACACAGAAUUAUUCAUAAAAUAACCUACAGUGAAAAAUCUUUGGAUCUCCCACUUAAUGAGCUAAAGCACAGAAGUAGCAAUAAGGCUGCCUGGCUACAUUUUCACAGUGCCACCAACUGAGAGUUAAGCUGACAAACAUUUUCAGAGCUCGGCCCAUUUCAUUCACAGCAGGAUGGCAGCGGGGUGACUGAUUGUCCCUGCCAGCCGGCUAAUAUCGUAAUUAACAAAGUUGCUACCACAUCUGCAAAGUUUAAUCGAAAAAUUUACCAGCGGUAUGAUGGCAUUGUCACCAAGAUCACAAGGGACUCGGAGUUGGACUUCUGCUCCAGGUGGAACGGCAAGGCUCUAUAGCUGAGAUGAGGAAUUGUGAACUUGUUCAGCCAAAGGAGGCUAACAAUGAAGGGGCCAGGGAAGGAGGCCAAGGCAACAAGGGUUAUCUUUCAACCUCAGAUGCUGGAUAAGUCGAAGGAGGCAGCAUCGCU